rnacentral:rRNA from 1 species
UACAGAGGUCCCGAGCGUCGUUCGGAUUCACUGGGCGUAAAGGGUGCGUAGGUGGCCUGAAAAGUUUGAUGUGAAAGCUCAGGGCUUAACCCUGAAAUGGCAUUGAAUACUGUCGGGCUGGAGGUUUGGAGGGGGGACUGGAAUUCUUGGUGUAGCAGUGAAAUGCGUAGAUAUCAAGAGGAACACCAGUGGCGAAGGCGAGUCCCUGGACAACACCUGACACUGAGGCACGAAAGCUAGGGGAGCAAACAGG